rnacentral:rRNA from 1 species
AGCAUGCCGCGGUGAAUACGUUCCCGGGCCUUGUACACACCGCCCGUCACACCAUGGGAGUUUGUAACACCCGAAGUCAGUAUCCUAACCGCAAGGGGGGAGCUGCCGAAGGUGGGAUAAGCGACUGGGGUGAAGUCGUAACAAGGUACC